GGUGAUUUAGUACUAUAGGUACUCUCUCUAGAAGUGGCCGUUAGAUAUUCAUCUGUCCACAGUUAGACAAACUGUCUAUAAAUGGAGGUGAUUUAGUACUAUAGGUACUCUCUCUAGAAGUGGCCGUUAGAUAUUCAUCUGUCCACAGUUAGACAAACUGUCUAUAAAUGGAGGUGAUUUAGUACUAUAGGUACUCUCUCUAGAAGUGGCCGUUAGAUAUUCAUCUGUCCACAGUUAGACAAACUGUCUAUAAAUGGAGGUGAUUUAGUACUAUAGGUACUCUCUCUAGAAGUGGCCGUUAGAUAUUCAUCUGUCCACAGUUAGACAAACUGUCUAUAAAUGGAGGUGAUUUAGUACUAUAGGUACUCUCUCUAGAAGUGGCCGUUAGAUAUUCAUCUGUCCACAGUUAGACAAACUGUCUAUAAAUGGAGAUGAUUUAGUACUAUAGGUACUCUCUCUAGAAGUGGCCGUUAGAUAUUCAUCUGUCCACAUUUAGACAAACUGUCUAUAAAUGGAGAUGAUUUAGUACUAUAGGUACUCUCACUAGAAGUGGCCGUUAGAUAUUCAUCUGUCCACAGUUAGACAAACUGUCUAUAAAUGGAGAUGAUUUAGUACUAUAGGUACUCUCACUAGAAGUGGCCGUUAGAUAUUCAUCUGUUCACAGUUAGACAAACUGUCUAUAAAUGGAGAUGAUUUAGUACUAUAGGUACUCUCACUAGAAGUGGCCGUUAGAUAUUCAUCUGUCCACAGUGAGACAAACUGUCUAUAAAUGGAGAUGAUUUAGUACUAUAUGUACUCUCUCUAGAAGUGUCCGUUAGAUAUUCAUCUGUCC